rnacentral:rRNA from 1 species
UGAGGAAUAUUGGUCAAUGGACGCAAGUCUGAACCAGCCAUGCCGCGUGAAGGAUGAAGGCGUUCUGCGUUGUAAACUUCUUUUAUUGGGGAAGAAACCUGAGAUUUCUAUUUCAGCCGACGGUACCCAAGGAAUAAGCACCGGCUAACUCCGUGCCAGCAGCCGCGGUAAUACGGAGGGUGCAAGCGUUAUCCGGAUUUACUGGGUUUAAAGGGUGUGUAGGCGGACUUUUAAGUCAGGGGUGAAAUCCCGAGGCUCAACCUCGGAACUGCCUUUGAUACUAUUGGUCUUGAAUGUUGUUGAGGUGGGCGGAACGGGUCAUGUAGCGGUGAAAUGCAUAGAUAUGACCCGGAACACCGAUUGCGAAGGCAGCCCGCUAAGCAACUAUUGACGCUGAGGCACGAAAGCGUGGGGAUCAAACAG